GUGCCGGCUUGGCAGCACAUAUACCAACACUAGAAAGACACAAAGAUAAGGAUGGUCCCUGAACAAGGAUAAAAUGCAAAUUCAUGAAGCAUUUUGCAUGAAG
ensembl:snRNA U6 U6 spliceosomal RNA